UACGGGGGGGGCAAGCGUUGUUCGGAAUUACUGGGCGUAAAGGGCUCGUAGGCGGCCAACUAAGUCAGACGUGAAAUCCCUCGGCUUAACCGGGGAACUGCAUCUGAUACUGGAUGGCUUGAGAUUGGGAGAGGGAUGCGGAACUCCAGGUGUAGCGGUGAAAUGCGUAGAUAUCUGGAGGAACACCGGUGGCGAAGGCGGCAUCCUGGACCAACACUGACGCUGAGGAGCGAAAGCCAGGGGAGCAAACGGG
rnacentral:rRNA from 1 species